GCUUAGACGUAAACCAAGGCCCCACCCCACAUUUUCCCUCGCCCGCCAGAGUAUUACAAGUGAAAAACUUAAAACUCAAAGGACUUGACGGCAUUCCACACCAUACUAGAGGAGCCUGUCCUAUAACCGAUAACCCACGUUCAACCUCACCUGUUCUAGCAAACUUCAGCCUAUAUACCGCCGUCUUCCAGCUCGCCUUGCAAAAGAACCCAAAGCGGGCAAACCCGUCCAACACUAACACGUCAGGUCAAGGUGUAGCUGAUGAACAGGCAGAGAUGGGCUACAUUUUCUACAUAUCAGAAAACCACCACCCGCACUAUGAAACAAGUGCACAAAGGAGGAUUUAGCAGUAAGUCGCGCAAGCGUGCCCGGCUGAACAACGCCAUGGAAUGCGU
rnacentral:rRNA from 1 species